UACAGAGGGGGCAAGCGUGGUUCGGAAUUACUGGGCGUAAAGGGCGCGUAGGCGGCCUGUUAAGUCGAACGUGAAAUCCCCGGGCUCAACCCGGGAACUGCGUCCGAUACUGGUUGGCUUGAAUCCGGGAGAGGGACGUGGAAUUCCAGGUGUAGCGGUGAAAUGCGUAGAUAUCUGGAGGAACACCGGUGGCGAAGGCGGGUCUCUGGGCAGUAACUGACGCUGAGGAGCGAAAGCGUGGGGAGCGAACAGG
rnacentral:rRNA from 1 species